AUUGAACGCUGGCGGCAUGCCUUACACAUGCAAGUCGAACGGUAACGGGCCUUCGGGUGCCGACGAGUGGCGAACGGGUGAGUAAUGUAUCGGGACGUACCAUUGAGUGGGGGAUAACGUAGCGAAAGUUACGCUAAUACCGCAUAUUCUCUCCGGAGGAAAGCAGGGGACCGCAAGGCCUUGCGCUCUUUGAGCGGCCGAUAUCAGAUUAGCUAGUUGGGGGGGUAAAAGCUCACCAAGGCGACGAUCUGUAGCGGGUCUGAGAGGAUGAUCCGCCACACUGGAACUGAGACACGGGCCAGACUCCUACGGGAGGCAGCAGUGGGGAAUUUUGGACAAUGGGGGCAACCCUGAUCCAGCCAUGCCGCGUGAGUGAAGAAGGCCUUCGGGUUGUAAAGCUCUUUCAGCCGGGAAGAAAUCGCAUGGGCCAAUACCCCGUGCGGAUGACGGUACCGGAAUAAGAAGCACCGGCUAACUACGUGCCAGCAGCCGCCGUAA
rnacentral:rRNA from 1 species